rnacentral:rRNA from 1 species
AGAGUUUGAUUAUGGCUCGAGGACGAACGCUGGCGGCGUGCCUAACACAUGCAAGUCGAGCGAGGAGAUUCCUUCGGGAUGAUCCUAGCGGCGGACGGGUGAGUAACACGUGGGCAACCUGCCUCAUAGAGAGGAAUAGCCUUCCGAAAGGGAGAUUAAUACCUCAUAACAUUGCAGUUUCGCAUGGAACAGCAAUUAAAGGAGUAAUCCGCUAUGAGAUGGGCCCGCGGCGCAUUAGCUAGUUGGUGAGGUAACGGCUCACCAAGGCGACGAUGCGUAGCCGACCUGAGAGGGUGAUCGGCCACAUUGGGACUGAGACACGGCCCAGACUCCUACGGGAGGCAGCAGUGGGGAAUAUUGCACAAUGGGGGAAACCCUGAUGCCAGCAACGCCGCGUGAGUGAUGACGGCCUUCGGGUUGUAAAGCUCUGUCUUCAGGGACGAUAAUGACGGUACCUGAGGAGGAAGCCACGGCUAACUACGUGCCAGCCGCCGC